rnacentral:tRNA from 1 species
GGAGGGGUGCUUGGAGUGGUUUAUCAGCCAGGUCUCGAAAACCUUGGGCUCCGCAAGGGGCACGCGGGUUCGAAUCCCGCCCUCUCCG